GACGAACCGAGCGAACGUUGUUCGGAAUCACUGGGCUUAAAGGGCGCGUAGGCGGGCUGUCGCGUCCGGGGUGAAAUCCCGCGGCUCAACCGCGGAACGGCCUCGGAUACGGGCGGCCUCGAGGGGGGUAGGGGCAUCUGGAACUGUGAGUGGAGCGGUGAAAUGCGUUGAUAUUCACAGGAACUCCGGUGGCGAAGGCGAGGUGCUGGACCCCAUCUCG
rnacentral:rRNA from 1 species